CAGUAGCCACGGUAAUACAGAGGUCCCAAGCGUUGUUCGGAUUCAUUGGGCGUAAAGGGUGCGUAGGUGGCAGGCUAAGUCGGAUGUGAAAUCCCAGGGCUCAACCCUGGAACUGCAUUCGAUACUGGUUUGCUAGAAGACUGGAGAGGAGAUUGGAAUUCAUGGUGUAGCAGUGAAAUGCGUAGAUAUCAUGAGGAAGACCAGUGGCGAAGGCGGAUCUCUGGACAGUUCUUGACACUGAGGCACGAAGGCCAGGGGAGCAAACGGGAUUAGAUACCCGUGUAGUCCCUGUCUCUUAUAC
rnacentral:rRNA from 1 species